rnacentral:rRNA from 1 species
UACAGAGGGUGCGAGCGUUAAUCGGAAUUACUGGGCGUAAAGCGCACGUAGGCGGCUUGGUAUGUCGGGUGUGAAAUCCCCGGGCUCAACCUGGGAACUGCAUCCGAAACUGCCUUGCUCGAGUAUGGGAGAGGGAAGUGGAAUUUCCGGUGUAGCGGUGAAAUGCGUAGAUAUCAGGAGGAACACCGAUGGCGAAGGCAGGUCUCUGGGCUGACACUGACGCUCAUGCACGAAAGCGUGGGGAGCAAACAGG